rnacentral:rRNA from 1 species
UACGUAGGCAGCGAGCGUUGUUCGGAGUUACUGGGCGUAAAGAGUGCGUAGGCGGUUUUCUAAGUUUGGUGUGAAAUCUCCCGGCUUAACUGGGAGGGUGCGCCGAAAACUGGAAGGCUUGAGUAUGGGAGAGGUAAGCGGAAUUCCUGGUGUAGCGGUGAAAUGCGCAGAUAUCAGGAGGAACACCGGUGGCGAAGGCGGGUCUCUGGGCAGUAACUGACGCUGAGGAGCGAAAGCGUGGGGAGCGAACAGG